AUCCUGGCUCAGGGGUUCCUCAAAGCCGGCCAGUACGAGCUGAUCGGGCUCAGCGACUUAGAUGAGAACGCCAAGACUACCUUUCAAGCGAACUAUCCAGAAAUCCCAUACAUCGCAGCCGACAUCGAGCAGCUAGAGAUCAGACAUCUACGUGAGAUGGCUGAUGGGCGGCGAAUCACCGGGGUCCUUGGAGGGCCGCCCUGCCAGGGGUUCAGCAAGAACGGGCUCAAGAACCCUGACGAUGAGCGCAACAGAUACGUAAGCAGGUACGUGGCCUUCGUUCGUGAACUAGACCCCGACUUCCUGCUUAUGGAGAAUGUGCCCGAGCUACUCUAUCACCCUCUGUUUCGCUCGCUGUUGGCAGAGCUUGAGCAACGCUACAUAGUCGCCUACUCCGUGCUUAACGCUGCCCAGUAUGGUGUUCCCCAGACGCGGCAUCGUGCGUUCGUCCUCGCAUACCACCGCAGGCUAGGCGCGGCGCCCAGCUUCCCUCCACUGACACACGGACUGGGUGAUCGCGCGGUCUUUAACUACCGUCUUAAGCAGCUCCAGACGGCCAGCACUCCUGGCGCGCUAGACGAUAUCCUCGGGGCAGGCCCGGUACUCCGGGCAGCACUU
rnacentral:rRNA from 1 species